AAUAAGAGGUCCCGCCUGCCCUGUGACUAUAUGUUUAACGGCCGCGGUAUUUUGACCGUGCGAAGGUAGCGCAAUCACUUGUCUUUUAAAUGGAGACCUGUAUGAAUGGCACGACGAGGGCUUAACUGUCUCCUUCCCCAAGUCAAUGAAAUUGAUCUCUCCGUGCAGAAGCGGGGAUAGACCCAUAAGACGAGAAGACCCUAUGGAGCUUUAGACACUAAAACAGCCCAUGUUAAAAACCCUCACAAAAGAGACUAAACUAGAUGGUCCCUGUCCUAAUGUCUUUGGUUGGGGCGACCACGGGGUAACAAAAAACCCCCGCGCGGAACAGAAACACUGUUUCCAGAACCAAGAGCACCCGCUCUAAGUAACAAGACCCACUUGACCUUUGAGAUCCGGCAUUAGCCGAUCAACGGACCGAGUUACCCUAGGGAUAACAGCGCAAUCUUCUUCGAGAGUUCAUAUCGACGAGAAGGUUUACGACCUCGAUGUUGGAUCAGGACAUCCUAAUGGUGCAGCCGCUAUUAAGGGUUCGUUUGUUCAACGAUUAAAGUCCU
rnacentral:rRNA from 1 species